rnacentral:rRNA from 1 species
AUACGGAGGAUCCGAGCGUUAUCCGGAUUUAUUGGGUUUAAAGGGUGCGUCGGCGGCCUUUUAAGUCAGCGGUGAAAGUCUGUGGCUCAACCAUAGAAUUGCCGUUGAAACUGGGGGGCUUGAGUAUGUUUGGGGCAGGCGGAAUGCGUGGUGUAGCGGUGAAAUGCUUAGAUAUCACGCAGAACCCCGAUCGCGAAGGCAGCCUGCCAAGCCAUGACUGACGCUGAUGCACGAAAGCGUGGGGAUCGAACAGGAUUAGAUACCCUGGUAGUCCACGCAGUAAACGAUGAUCACUAGCUGUUUGCGAUACACAGUAAGCGGCACAGCGAAAGCGUUAAGUGAUCCACCUGGGGAGUACGCCGGCAACGGUGAAACUCAAAGGAAUUGGCGGGG